GACGAACGCUGGCGGCGGGCUUAACACAUGCAAGUCGAACGGAAAGGCCCUGCUUUUGUGGGGUGCUCGCGUGGCGCACGGGUGAGUAACCCGUGAGUAACCUGCCCUUGACUUUGGGAUAACUUCAGGAAACUGGGGCUAAUACCGGCUAGGAGCUCCUGCUGCAUGGUGGGGGUUGGAAAGUUUCGGCGGUUGGGGAUGGACUCGCGGCUUAUCAGCUUGUUGGUGGAGUAGUGGCAUACCAAGGCCUUGACGGGUAGCCGGCCUGAGAGGGUGACCGGCCACAUGGGGCCUGAGGUACGGACCAGACUCCUACGGGAGGCAGCAGUGGGGAAUCUUGCACAGUGGGCGGAAGCCUGAUGCAGCAACGUCGCGUGCGGGAUGACGGCCUUCGGGGGGUAAACCGCUUUCGCCUGUGACGAAGCGUGAGUGACGGUACCGGGUAAAGAAGCACCGGCUAACUACGUG
rnacentral:rRNA from 1 species